CGUGUACUAGCUGUUAGGGCUGAGAGCUGGGACCUAGAGAGAAAUUCAGUCAUGUUUGUCCUGGGUUCCAUCGAGAUAGGUGUGGGGAUAGGCUUGAUUUCUAUUACAAAUAAUGUAACAUUACAUAUGUUAGUACUCCUAACACUUCUUGGGACUGUGCCUCAGGGAUCACAACCUAUAUAAGUUUAGAAGUUCUGAAAGACAGUCAUGACCUUGGUGUAUAGGUUCAGAUAGUGUCCAGAUUGGAAUCCUGAUGCUAAAGACUUAGUAAGAGACAAAAAAAAGGAGUUGAGAAUUACUUAGGGCUAGGGCUAUCUAGGUGCUACAAGGGCAGCACAAGGACAUCUGCUGUUGCCCUACAAUACAAGGCUUAUAGAGAAUUCAGAACUGCCAUUGACUCAGAUAUAAAAAGAGUAAAAGACUUUUUAGCUGACCUCCAAGAAUACCUAACUUCCCUCUCAGAGGUAGUCCUUCAAAAUAAGAAAAGAUCAGACCUGAUAUUCCUUAAAGAAGGAAUCUGUGUGCUACACUGAAAGAAAAAUGUUGCUUCUAUACAGACCAUUCAGGAGUAAUUAAAGACUCCAUAAAUAAACUUAAAAAAAAGGUUAGACAAAAGACAGACAGACAGAAAAACACAUCAGAGAUAGUUCGAGAGCUAGUUUAGUAGAUCUCCCUGGAUGACUACCCUACUCUCUGCUACAGCUGGGCCAUUAUUAAUAAUUUUCUUGGUUUUAGUUUUUGGCUCCUGCGUGACAAACAGGUUAAUUGCUUUUGUUAAAAAUUGAGUGGGUGCUGUACGGUUGAUGGUCCUGAGACAACAGUACCAGUCAGUUAGGACAACUGGUGAGACCAAAUAAGACUUGAUAUCAAAAUUCUAAGAUUAGAAUUAUUUAGUAGGAGAAGACGGGAAUGAAAAGAAAAUUAUACGAAUUCUAGGUUUAAAAAUAUAAAAUUAAAAGAGUUAGCCCCAAAAGCCACAAACUCAGGGCUAAGCCCUGCCGCCAGGAAUAGCAGGCCAUAA
rnacentral:lncRNA from 1 species